rnacentral:lncRNA from 1 species
GGCAGGGGGACCAUCGGGAUGGAAACAGGUGUUCACUGCUAUCAGCUGCAAUGACUGCAUUAACUUUUCUCUCCCGUGGAGUUCCCCCAGUUUCAGUUCCACCCUUUUCAAGGAGACAUAACAGCUGUCAGUCAAAGAGCCCCGCCUCCCAAUCUUCUACCAGACUGUUCCAUGACAGCCGUAACUGCCCUGGACACCUGCCCUGAUCCAGAAGAUAUCUACCGGGACCACAGCAUCUUGAAAAUGAACUAAG